AUGAGCUCGUUGUGGGAGCCUAGCUCCUUGACCUCACCAUACUGCAUGACAGCAAUCAUGUCAGCAUUGCGGAUAGUGGAGAGGCGAUGGGCAACGACGAUAGUCGUCCGACCCAAGGAGGCCAGGUCGAGUGCCUCCUGUACGACACGCUCUGACUCUGUAUCCAGUGCACUGGUGGCUUCAUCAAGGAGGAGGAUCUUGGGUGACUUCAGGAUUGCUCUGGCUAUAGCAAUCCUCUGCUUCUGCCCUCCAGACAUUUGGACACCACGCUCACCCACCUGUUUUCAUUUCGUAUAUGGACGAAGCUCCACCAGGACGCACGAUGAGGAGGAGAUGACUUGGAAGCCUAGAUCUAUAAAGCCAAAACCCUCUCACUGGGAUGAUCAUCUACACCGCACAAAGGACCUUCUGCACUACGAAGAACCCUGCAUCGAAUUUCACGAGAUUGGAAGGGCUAGUGGUUCAGCUUGGAUGCCAUCUCCUAAGAAACAAGAAAGAAACCCUGAUGCUUUCCUUGGCUCCAUCCGCUUUCCAUCCAUGCUAUCCUGGAUGCUCCAACCAGAUGAUGAUGCCUCAAAUGCCACACGAGGUAGUGCCUGUCCAAGGUUUUGUGAUUUGGACUCUCAAUAA
rnacentral:rRNA from 1 species